GCUGGGGUAGCUCAAUCGGAAGAGCGUGUGGCUUUUAGGACAACAUGUUGUCUUGGUAACCUCAAGGUCGCGGGUUCGAGCCCCGCCCUCAGCU